rnacentral:rRNA from 1 species
AGUGAACGCUGGCGGUAGGCCUAACACAUGCAAGUCGAACGGCAGCACAGUAAGAGCUUGCUCUUACGGGUGGCGAGUGGCGGACGGGUGAGGAAUACAUCGGAAUCUACUUUUUCGUGGGGGAUAACGUAGGGAAACUUACGCUAAUACCGCAUACGACCUACGGGUGAAAGCAGGGGAUCUUCGGACCUUGCGCGAUUGAAUGAGCCGAUGUCGGAUUAGCUAGUUGGCGGGGUAAAGGCCCACCAAGGCGACGAUCCGUAGCUGGUCUGAGAGGAUGAUCAGCCACACUGGAACUGAGACACGGUCCAGACUCCUACGGGAGGCAGCAGUGGGGAAUAUUGGACAAUGGGCGCAAGCCUGAUCCAGCCAUACCGCGUGGGUGAAGAAGGCCUUCGGGUUGUACAGCCCUUUUGUUGGGAAAGAAAAGCAGCAGGUUAAUACCCCGCUGUUCUGACGGUACCCAAAGAAUAAGCACCGGCUAACUUCGUG